AGCUAUGGCUUCACAUCUGUUAGCCUCAUG
rnacentral:piRNA from 1 species